rfam:Sphaerobolus stellatus SS14 unplaced genomic scaffold SPHSTscaffold_1133, whole genome shotgun sequence.
GGUCUUAUGGGGUAGUGGUUAGCCCCCGAGAUUUUGAAGAUCUUGGCUUCUCGUGACCCCGGUUCGAAUCCGGGUAAGACCU